GGGAAGACCUUGUCUCCAGUUGAAGGUGGUGCAAUAUAGCUGCCUACAUUGAAAGCGGUUAAUGUAUCCCGCAUCAUGGUGUGAGUUGGAGGACCAGUGAUGCAUAGCUGCAGACAUAAGUUAUGUCAUCAGUAGCACAGACAUUGUUGGCAUGGCAGCUGUGCGUAAGAAUCAGAUCUACAGUGCUGAUGAGAAGAGGGCCCUCGCCUCCUUCAACAAGGACCCGGCGAAGCAAGAUGGAAGACAAAAUCCAAUAGGAUUUCCUAGAGAUGAUCCACAAGCACGUCAAGGGGAGAAUAGAUGCCGGUUCUCGCCUCAAUGAAGAGGAAGAGUUUCUAAGACUGCGUGAGGGAUCCUCGUCGGAAUCCUAGGCAUUGAUUCACAAAAAGGCAAGGAAAAGGACUCGAUCUUCUCAGACAUGUCAGAGUUGUAGUUCUUUGCUUCCACCGUAGUUCUUGAUGGAGCAAGUCUGUCUGCAUUUGUACACUACUCAAAAGGAUCAAAGGAUCAGAAUUUU